rnacentral:rRNA from 1 species
CAUAUCACUAAGCGGAGGAAAAGAAACUAACCAGGAUUCCCCUAGUAACGGCGAGUGAAGAGGGAGAAGCCCAGCACCGAAGCCUGCGGUAGUGUUACUGCUAGGCAAUGUGGUGUUUGGGUCGGCUAGUGGGAUUGCCACUCCGUUCGAAGUCCAGCAUUGAGUAUGGUACCCUGGAUUUGGCCCAUAGAGGGUGAAAGGCCCGUGCGAAUGGAAGUUUCAGACAUGAAAGGCGAUUCACCAGGUCGACCUUAGAGUCGGGUUGUUUGAGAAUGCAGCCCAAAGUGGGUGGUAAACUCCAUCCAAGGCUAAAUACUAGCACGAGUCCGAUAGCGAACAAGUACCGUGAGGGAAAGUUGAAAAGUACUCUGAAGAGAGAGUAAACAGUACGUGAAACCGCAUAAAGGUAAACGGGUGGCGUCAAGCUGCAAGCCUGGAGGAUUCAGCCGGUCAUUUUGUAGGGUAUACGUCCUGUGUAUCCCAGUCGGUGAUAGUGAGUAGUCUGCUGGCAACGGCGGGCCUGGCCGCAAGGCUAGGAUGUACGUUCCACUUGUUCGGUGGUGUACGCUGCUCGGCUAUUGGACUGGAUGGCCAGUGCACUUCCUCCAUUAAGGUGAACACCACGACCGGUGGAACUGCCAGUCUGGUAUAGCCAAGUUGUGUCUAUUCUUGCAUUCGUGUGGAUUAGGCUCAAUCACAGGCAGAUUCGGUGGACGGUGAGUGAACUUCGGUUUGCUCAUGUUAUCGGUCACUGGCUGUCAACGGGUUCGUCCGCUGAGGUUGCAGUCCUUGGUGGGUGGCCUGGUGGGCUUUACUGGUAAGAAUAACUGUGCAGGGCACCGGAGUUGUCGGUCUCUAAUCCGGUUGGCGCACGCGCUGCAAGUGUGUGUGGAGGUGCCAUUUCGGCCUGUCGUUGGUUGGGUCUGAUUGCCGUGUCGCCUGCGAAAAGUAGGUCCGGUAGUGGCUCGGCUACGGUUGGUGCAUGGAGUGGUGCUUCUCUGUCAGUCGGUGUGGACCCAAUAGUCUGUGGUGUAGUGGUAGACGAGCUACCCGACCCGUCUUGAAACACGGACCAAGGAGUUUAACAUACACGCGAGUCAUUGGGGACUUCCGAAACCCACAGGCGCAAUGAAAGUGAAGCCUCCUUUGGAGGUGUGGUGAGAUCCUGCUGUUACUCGCAUCUGCACUCGUGUAGCUUGUCGGCUCAGGGCGCAAAGAGCGGUGGGCGCAUCACCGGCCCGUCUCAUGAUGUGGUCAUUGGUCGG